rnacentral:rRNA from 1 species
ACGAUUUUGAAAGGGGGCAGAUUGAAGUCAGUCAUGCCGGUGGGAAUCAACUUAGGGGAAACUCUGGGUGCACUUCUUCGCUUGGCAGGUCAACGUCGAUUUUGAAUGUCAUAAAAUAAUUGGGGGAAGGUAGCUCCUUCGGGAGUGUUAUAGCCCUUGAUAGAUGUGAUGUUUGGGGUCGAGGAUUGCAACGGAAACCUUUGGGGGUAGCAUGACGUAGGC